GUAGGGCGGGACACGUGGUAUCCUGUCUGAAUAUGGGGGGACCAUCCUCCAAGGCUAAAUACUCCUGACUGACCGAUAGUGAACCAGUACCGUGAGGGAAAGGCGAAAAGAACCCCGGCGAGGGGAGUGAAAAAGAACCUGAAACCGUGUACGUACAAGCAGUGGGAGCCUCUUUAUGGGGUGACUGCGUACCUUUUGUAUAAUGGGUCAGCGACUUAUAUUCUGUAGCAAGGUUAACCGUAUAGGGGAGCCGAAGGGAAACCGAGUCUUAACUGGGCGUUAAGUUGCAGGGUAUAGACCCGAAACCCGGUGAUCUAGCCAUGGGCAGGUUGAAGGUUGGGUAACACUAACUGGAGGACCGAACCGACUAAUGUUGAAAAAUUAGCGGAUGACCUGUGGCUGGGGGUGAAAGGCCAAUCAAACCGGGAGAUAGCUGGUUCUCCCCGAAAGCUAUUUAGGUAGCGCCUCGUGAACUCAUCUUCGGGGGUAGAGCACUGUUUCGGCUAGGGGGCCAUCCCGGCUUACCAACCCGAUGCAAACUACGAAUACCGAAGAAUGUUAUCACGGGAGACACACGGCGGGUGCUAACGUCCGUCGUGAAGAGGGAAACAACCCAGACCGCCAGCUAAGGUCCCAAAGUCAUGGUUAAGUGGGAAACGAUGUGGGAAGGCACAGACAGCCAGGAUGUUGGCUUAGAAGCAGCCAUCAUUUAAAGAAAGCGUAAUAGCUCACUGGUCGAGUCGGCCUGCGCGGAAGAUGUAACGGGGCUAAACCAUGCACCGAAGCUGCGGCAGCGACACUAUGUGUUGUUGGGUAGGGGAGCGUUCUGUAAGCCGUUGAAGGUGGCCUGUGAGGGUUGCUGGAGGUAUCAGAAGUGCGAAUGCUGACAUAAGUAACGAUAAAGCGGGUGAAAAGCCCGCUCGCCGGAAGACCAAGGGUUCCUGUCCAACGUUAAUCGGGGCAGGGUGAGUCGACCCCUAAGGCGAGGCCGAAAGGCGUAGUCGAUGGGAAACAGGUUAAUAUUCCUGUACUUGGUGUUACUGCGAAGGGGGGACGGAGAAGGCUAUGUCAGCCGGGCGACGGUUGUCCCGGUUUAAGCAUGUAGGCGGAGGUUCCAGGUAAAUCCGGUACCUUGUUAACGCUGAGGUGUGAUGACGAGGCACUACGGUGCUGAAGUGAUAAAUGCCCUGCUUCCAGGAAAAGCCUCUAAGCAUCAGGUAACACGAAAUCGUACCCCAAACCGACACAGGUGGUCAGGUAGAGAAUACCAAGGCGCUUGAGAGAACUCGGGUGAAGGAACUAGGCAAAAUGGUGCCGUAACUUCGGGAGAAGG
rnacentral:rRNA from 1 species